CCUCAAUGCCUACUCCCCUCGGCCACAGAUAAAGAGUGUAAUUUUCUCCUUGAGGAAUGUGACAUGAGUCAUCUGACAGGGCCCGAGUGAUCUGGUCACUCACUGCAAGUGCUCCAGCAGCCUCUUCCCAAUGCAGAAACUUCCUGGGAUUGCACAUUGGCAUUUGUUUGUGGUGAGGCUCAAGGAUGGAGCUGUGCUAUUUCUUACCUUAGGACAUAUGAAGCAAGCAUCUGUGGAAGCCAGGGUGACAGAGGUCAAGGUUUGGCUUCGAAUCUGCUUCAAGGACAAAGACUUAUAUGUCAUCUGAGCAAAUAUUAGGAACUGGUCACUGCUAUGUGUCACUCACAGCUCACAUCUGGGUGUUAAGAAAUCCACACCUGCAGCCAAGGCUGUCGUUCUGGCUGGGUAUGAAUGUGUCAUCGGCUAGAGGCUGCAGCCAAGUGCAGAAGUCCAGCCAGCCGCUAACCCAACACAGAAGAGUCGCUCUAAGUGCAAUGGCCACCCUCUUCCUCUCCUGUUCUCCUCCUUCAGAGGGGACCUUUCUAGGGGUCGUGCAGAUGAUCGUCUGGACAGCCUGAAUGAGAACUGUCUGCAGAAAACCAAGUGUGCUCGGCUGAAACCACCCUCUGCCCUGGCCCUUUACCAAGCAGGCUGGUCAGCCUAGCAAGGGCCCCAGCAUCCAGGCCUCACUUCUUCAGGCUGUCUCCUUGGAAAUGGUGGAGCAAAGUCACUGCAGGCUGGGUGCAUGCCCUCCCUACCCCGGGGCAUGCCAACGGGGUCAAUGACAACUGUUUCCAAUUAAGGGCUUUGCUAAAGAGAAGAGACUGUGUUCUGGAAACAAAACUCUCUUUUAAAAUGUUCGCUUCCUUCUGGACUCAAGAUAGGAAAUUUCUAUGUUCCCAACCAGAAAACGUAAAGGCAAAGGAAAAGCUGGAAAGUUCCUUUUCUAAACCUUCUUUAGAGGGGAGGAAACUGAGGCUCUUGGAAAGGCGGAAGUUGCACGUGGUCCUCACAGUCAACUGUGCCAGAAUAGGAGGCCAGGAACCACCUCUGUUGGAGGAGGACCCACCAGGCAUUCUUUCAAGAAAGCCAAGGUCCACAAUGCUGCCCUGAUCUCAGACUCAGUGCAGAAGCAGUAUGGAAAGGAUGAGAAGACAUGAGGAAACCCCAGACAACGGAGCCAGGAAUCUGUCUGCGGAAGAGAGACAUGCUGGAAGGGUCAAGCAGGUGGGCAGGUAUCAGAUGCCACAUGUCUGCGGUGGUGACCCUGCUGCCUAAUGCCAACCUUGCUUCUUGGCAGCGUCUGCUGGACUGUCAGAGGCAUAAUGCAGCCAGAGGGCAUACCCGAACCUGUUAGGCAUGGAACACCGAGUAAACAGCCCCUAGGAAUGUCUCUGACUUGAAUUUCAGCUCCUUUACUUGGGAGCAUCUGUCCUCUCUGGUUGUGGAAAAGAGGAAUCGGGGAUAGGGAAGGCUCAGCAUAUACUGCCCCUUGAUUAAAGGAGGCUGUGUGGUCUUGGGGGCAGUGGUCCUGGGGAUGUUUGGUGGGGGUACUGCAGGGACAGGUGAUGGGGAAAGGGGAAAAUGAGGGGAAGCCUAUUCCUGGCACCCCCACAUUUCCUGGCUCUCAGUUACUCAGCUGCUAUAUGCUAUCUGCUCCAAACAGUGCAAUUCUGCUUAAAUUUUGUUUCAAGUGAAGGUUCUGUGACUAAAACUUUUGAGAAGUUUUACCCUACACAUGGGGAUGUGUAGGAUGAGAGCAAGCAAGGUUUUGAGUUCAUACCUGCCAACAGCUUCUGAGUGACCUUCAUCAAAGCUGCUCAUCCUGAGAGCCAGACCUCGGUCAUUUCCACUACAAGGAAGCUUUGCCUGGGCUCUGUCCUCUCUUCCCACAUGGGAAGCGGGUCAGGACAACUGUCUAAGCAGAUAACCCUGUCUUGGAAAUGCUCUCAUCUUGAGGGCACUCAGACCAGCCCUCCAACCUGCCCCCCGUUCCUGUCCCUAAAGUCCUUCGUUAGAUGAGCUCAAAGGUGUGACACCAACUGGAAAGAUAAAAAGGAUGAUUAAAAAUCAAGGUAUUGGCUGGGCACGGUGGCCCACGCCUGUAAUUCCAGCAGUUUGGGAGGCCGAGGAGGGGGGAUCACCUCAGGUCAGGAGUUCGAGACCAGCCUGACCAACAUGGAGGAAACCCCAUCUCUACUAAAAAUGCAAAAUUAGCUGGGUGUGGUGGCACAUGCCCGUAAUCCCAGCUACUCGAGAGGCGAGGCAGGAGAAUCACUUGAACUCGGGAGGCAGAGGUUGUAGUGAGCCGAGAUUGUGCCAUUGCAUUCAAGCCUGGGCAACAAAAAUAAAACUGUCUCAAAAAAAAAAAUCAAAGUAUUAUUAUCACAUAAGUUGACAAGGAAGAAAAAAGAUGGGAGAGGACAGAGAAGGGGAGGAGAAAUUCUGAAUCUUUUAGCCAUUGAUAUUUACUGUCUAGUCAAGCAAACUUCUUAGAUUAAGUAGAAAGGGAUGCAGAGAGUUUGAGGCAGUUGCUGCUGACUCAGGUUAGGUGAAGUACACUAAUAAUUAGAAUAGGGUGGGAAGCCAGAAAAGACCUAAUUACAUCUGAUUCCAAAUGAGGCUCAUGUAGCCAAUGGGAAGCUUGCCAUUGCAACACACCCUGCUGGAAAGGUCAUCACUGAAUGCAAACUGCAGCAGGUCAGGAGUGUACUCUGAUAUUCAACUGAGGACUGACAGGUCUCCAAAAAAAGGACCUGCACCUUUGCUGACUGCUGAAUUCCCAAACGCAAGCUUGCUCUCCAAAUUCCAUGACGAGCAUAACGCUCCACCUCCCUCAAAGGCCUCCUUGCUGUUCUGUGCAGUUAUCUAUUAAAGGAAAGAUGACUUUUAAAAACAACAUUCUCUAGGUAGUAGGUGUGCAAGUAGGGGGACUUAAGUGAUCUGGGGAGUAAUGAUGGUGACGGAGAAGAUCAUAACAAGAUUAUAGAUAGGUUAGCAGAUCUGGAUUAUUGAACAGUAGUUUUUUAAGAAUACCUACGCCCCCAAAAUAGAGGUUAUGGAAGAAAAGAAAAUCAGACCUAAUGUUUCCAUUAAGAUUCUUAGUAGCCUUCUGAGCAAAGUUGUAUGUAAAAGAAAAAAAAAAAGAUUCUUAGUAGCUGAUGAAUUUUAGCCCAAGGAGAUGAUAGCAUAGUAAUUCAAAUCCCUUGUCCCGAUGACUACAAAUCAGGAUGAUUAAAGAAUGGAAUCUUAGCUCUCUGACAUCCCAGACAGCAGGCCUUGUCCCUAGACUUGCAGAUGGAGCAAGACAAGCACAGUGGAGAAAAAGAAAUGCCUUUAUAUUUAGGUUGUUUUCCACCCAUUAUUAAGGCAGUAAGGUUGAGGACCACAAGGUCACUCUUGGAUCCUCAUCAGGCCUUCUUCCUGCCAACUGCUUUCUGGGAGGGUCAGUGUGUAUUCCUGAAAUGACUCUGGAAUCAUCCACCCUCAGACCAUCUGUCCACAUAUCCCAGUAUCUACUGUAGCUGGCAGCAAUUUGCAUGCCCUCCGGAAUUUCUUGGGCUGGACCUCCAAAUGCCUGCUGCACUAUUUGGAAUGUUAUCCUCAUCUCACAGUCUCUUAUCUCCAACUGGGGAUUUCUCCCAUGGUGUUGACUGCAUUUACCUUGAGGGCUGACAUUGCCACAGCUGUGCAGAGGAGAUGGAGUCUCUGGAUGCAUGAAGCUGUCCCUUCAACACGGCAAAAUAAUUCCAGCAAACAACAGAAACCAAGGAGUGUCUUCCAUAUGGAGGCCAAUCAGAGGACACACGAGUCCUUAGGGCCCAGGCUAGUAUCAUUGUUUUAAAUAAUUUUGAUCAGGGUCAAGGCUAGUACCACGACCAAAUGGGGCAGUAAAAGACUGCCCAGGACUGGGGAGGAGGAGAGGUGAGAGGUAUAAAUACGUCUUGAAACCUCCAGACCCGGGCCAAUGAAAGACAGGUUUAACACCAUUUUAUGAUGGUGUGCAUGUGUUUAAACUACUUUUGAAAUUCCUCUGUGUUAAAUUAUCUGAAACUUUGACAUUACAGCAAGUAUAGGGUAUACAUUGCUAUGUAUUCUAACUGCUGUCUAUUAGAGAUACACAGUUUCUGGCAGCCUUUGACCCAUAUAGGUUGGCUAUCAUAAAACUGCACAGAAUCCUGUGAAAGGUAAGGACAUAUUUAUUAAACUCUCCUGCCAGGCUUUUCAACCCAGAACCCCACAUAGGGACACACACACAUCCCACUGUAGGACUUCACUGUUACCUGUGCUGAGCCCCUGUUUCUGCUGUGCUGAGAAAGGGAGAUGAGUGUUUAAAGCAGCUGCACUUACUUGAGCAUGCACAGAUUUUUGAGGGGGGCACAAAAAUUGGGAAACCAAACUUAGAAAAAGUGACCCUGCCAUCUGGAAAUCUUAGGUGGUAAGGCAGCACAAUUGAACUUGUACUGUUGGUAUCCUCAAGGCUGCUUCUUGGUUCCAGUCAUCCUGGAGAACCCAGGAGGGCAGGACCCUCACCUCCCAUAAACUUGAGAUGCCUAUGGUAGGCUGACUCCAUGGGGCCACUCCAUGAGAGAGGCCUGCACACAGCUGCAGAGGACCGUGGGUUGGACAACGAGGGUGAUUGUGAUAUACAUCAUGGGAGGAAGAGCCUGGUCUGGAAUCUGCACUCCAGCACCUCCUAGGUAUGUGAUCUUUCCCACUUGCCUCAAGCUUUGAGCCUCAGUUUUCUCACUUGAUACAAGGAGAAGAAUUGUCUAAAGUGACCCCAGGGGCUUUCUCUAGGUUGCUUGGGACUGGGUGGGAGUUUCCUAUCUCCUCUCUACAGGAUAAGCUACGUCUGAACCUAGCCCACGGCCUUAGCAGUUCUUCCCCUGACAAGAAGGUCCCUUCUGUCCUGUGGAAUCCAAGGGCCAGGCAGUUAGUACUUUCAGACAGUUGCUCUAAACAGCUGGCAAAUCCAGACUGCCUUGCACCACUGUUGAGUUUUUUUUAUUUGUAGGAUGUGGAAAAAGAAUGACAGGUGCAGUGGGGACCUCCAUUGCUAAAUAGACCCAUAGUGUGGCCCAGCAGCUCCCUGGACCCCGUGUGUCUCUCUGUGGGAGGAUGGAUGGGUUCAGGGACCUCCGUCUUCAUUUAUUUUGCAGGCCCUGGCUUGGUAAGUUCACCUUUCCCCCAAUCAAGCAUAUUCUUUAACACAUGCCUUAUGUCAUCAUGAAAUUUAUACUGAACCCUGGUAAUAGGGACCCAUCUUUUAUAACACCUUGUUUGCAGAAAUGGGGUUAUAACACCUUAAAGACUUGUAAAGAAAGCCAGGCACAGAGGCAACAGUGUGAAUAAGAGCACGGAGUUGUCCCUAGGCCUGGCCUAUUCAGGAAAUGUGGCUUUGGUGCUGGGUGCAUGGUGGGAGUGGGCCCUGAGGCUGCAGACGGACUGGGGUGAAGGAAUCAUUUUUCCCUUGAAAGUCACUGAGUGUCUGCAUCCCACUCUCAGCUUAGGAAUGACAGGUACAGCCUCCCCUGGCCCCAGCCUCAGGUCCCUAGGAGGUGGGCUGGAGGAGUAGGGAGCAGUUGUUAGGGAGUCGAAGACCAAUGAUAAUGAGGUCCCCAGUGGAGCCCUGAAUGAAGGAUUGACGAGAAGCAUCCUUCAGGAGCAUGAACAGGAUUCUGUGACUAUUACAUAAUGGGGGGAGUGAAAAGAAAAAGCAAAUGUGCCGGAUACACAUCACUUUUUUUCCUUUCCUUUUCCUCAGCAGAUAGAGAUACCCAAGAGCCAGAGGGGCCUCUCUCUGGGGAAAGAGCUGACUAGCUAGUGUUUCAAGGCCAAGAUGCUGGCUUCACACCUUGGGCGCUGGACGUGCCCCUGAGCCCUUUCAUCUGGCUUGGCUGAACCUUCCCUCUCUGCCCACCUGUCCAUACCUGUGUGUUGGGUCCUGACUUACACCCUUGCCCUCCUUUUUAAAAGAGAAAAGAUGGCCAGGCGUGGUGGUCCACACCUGUAAUCCUAGCACUUUGGGAGGCCGAGGCGGGCAGAUCAUGAGGUCAGAAGUUUGAGUCCAGUCUGGUCAAUGUGGUGAAACCCCAUCUCUAUUAAAAAUACAGCUGGGCAUGGUGGUGGGUUCCUGUAAUCCCAGCUACUGGGGACGCUGAGGCAGGAGAAUCGCUUGAUCCCAGGAGACAGAGGUUGUGCCACUGAACUCCAGCCUGGGCAACAGAGCAAAACUCCAUCUCAAAAAAUAAAGAAUAAUAAUUUUUAAA